rnacentral:rRNA from 1 species
GAUGAACGCUGGCGGCGUGCUUAACACAUGCAAGUCGAACGAAGCAUUUACGACAGAUUUCUUCGGAUUGAAGUUGAUUAUGACUGAGUGGCGGACGGGUGAGUAAUGCGUGGGUAACCUGCCUUGUACUGGGGGAUAGCAGCUGGAAACGGCUGGUAAUACCGCAUAAGCGCACAAUGUUGCAUGACAUGGUGUGAAAAACUCCGGUGGAAUAAGAUGGACCCGCGUCUGAUUAGCUAGUUGGUGAGAUAACAGCCCACCAAGGCAACGAUCAGCAGCCGACCUGAGAGGGUGACCGGCCACAUUGGGGAUGAGACACGGGCGAGACUCCUACGGGAUGCGGCAGUGAGGAAUAUUGCAGAAUGGAGGAAACUCUGAUGCAGCGACGCCGCGUGCAUGAAGAAGUAAUUCGUUAUGUAAAGCUCUAUCAGCAGGGAAGAUAGUGACGGUACCUGACUAAGAAGCUCCGGCUAAAUACGUGCCAGCAGCCGCCGCAG